rnacentral:rRNA from 1 species
GGAUUCCCCUAGUAACUGCGAGUGAAGCGGGAAAAGCUCAAAUUUUGAAUCUGGCGGUCAUCUACGCCGUCCGAAUUGUAAUCUAGAGAAGUGUCUUCCGCGCUGGCCCGUGUACAAGUCUCCUGGAAGGGAGCAUCAUAGAGGGUGAGAAUCCCGUCUUUGACACGGACUACCAAGGCUAUGUGAUGCACUCUCAACGAGUCGAGUUGUUUGGGAAUGCAGCUCAAAAUGGGUGGUAAAUUCCAUCUAAAGCUAAAUACAGGCGAGAAACCGAUAGUGAACAAGUACCGUGAGGGAAAGAUCAAAAGAACUUUGAAAAGAGAGUUAAACAGUACGUGAAAUUGCUGAAAGGGAAACGCUUGAUGUCAGUCGCGUUAAUUAGGGAUCAGCC